rnacentral:rRNA from 1 species
GGAUUASAUACCCUGGUARUCCACGCCGUAAACGAUGUCSACUAKCCGUUGGGAUCCUUGAKAUCUUAGUGGCGCAGCUAACGCGAUAAGUCKACCGCCUGGGGAGUACGGCCGCAAGGUUAAAACUCAAAUGAAUUGACGGGGGCCCGCACAAGCGGYGGAGYAUGUGGUUUAAUUCSAAGCAACGCGAARAACCUUACCUGGCCUUGACAUGUCCGGAAUCUUGCARAGAUGCGAGAGUGCCUUCGGGAAUCGGAACACAGGUGCUGCAUGGYUGUCKUCAGCUCGUGUCGKGAGAUGUUGGGUUAAGUCCCGUAACGAGCGCAACCCUUGUCCUUAGYUACCAGCACGUYAUGGUGGGCACUCUAAGGAGACUGCCGGUGACAAACCGGAGGAAGGUGGGGAUGACGUCAAGUCAUCAUGGCCCUUACGGYCWGGGCUACACACGUGCUACAAUGGUCGGUACWGAGGGUUGCCAAGCCGCGAGGUGGAGCUAAUCCCAUAAAACCGAUCGUAGUCCGGAUCGCAGUCUGCAACUCUACUGCGUGAAGUCGGAAUCSCUAGUAAUCGUGAAUCCASAAUGUCACGGYGAAUACGUUCCCGGGCCUUGUACACACCGCCCGUCACACCAU